UGUAGUUCUGAAUUGGAGAAAUAUAUUCUACAUAUAUUUUUACAGUGCAAAGAAUGAGCUGAAUCCAAGGAAGAACAGAAAAAGUUAACUGAGUUAUCCAGUGGCAUCUUCCAUCAGAAAAUACCAGAUACAAGACUCUGGAGGCAAGAUUCGGACAACUUUUAUUCCACGAUACUGUAAAGGAUCUUGUACCUGCAUAGAUGGCAUAAAAACAGGACUUCCAGGAUUGUGUUGAAAAGAGCGCUAAGAAUAAUCAUACUGGCCUUUUUCCUUAUCUUAGAGGAAAAUCUUUCAAGUUUUCACCAUUGUAUGUGAUAUUAGACUGACAAAAAUUGUUUUAGAAGAAUGAGUUGCAUUGGAAAGUGCUGGACAAAUGCUAUUUUAUGCAAGAAGUCUCUUCGAAGAUGAUCAGAUGGAAA